GAGUGGAGCCUGCGGCUUAAUUUGACUCAACACGGGAAACUUACCAGGUCCAGACAUAGUAAGGAUUGACAGACUGAGAGCUCUUUCGAGAUUCUAUGGGUGUGGUGCAUGGCCUUCUUAGUUGGUGGGAGCGAUUUGUCUGGUUAAUUCCGUUAACGAACGAGACCUCAGCCUGCUAACUAGCUAUGCGGAGGUAUCCCUCCGCGGCCAGCUUCUUAGAGGGACUACGGCCUUUCAAGCCGCGAAAGUUUGAGGCAAUAACAGGUCUGUGAAGAACGCGCGCUACACUGAUGUAUUCAACGAGCAUAUAGCUUGUGAAAUUUCAUCCAUUGCCUUCUGUUGAAAAAUUC
rnacentral:ncRNA from 1 species